CCGUGUGCCGCCCGGGGUCGCUGGAGCGGUGGUCUCUGCUCGGAGUCACUCGGGUUGUGUUUCUCUGCACGUCAAGCGGCACACCCACAUUAAACUGCCUACUAGAAGUAAUAAACCCAACGCGCGGUGGACUUAUAAAGAAGCUGCAAUUGAGUUUGGUGUUCUGGGAGAAGGGUGCUUGUGUGAGGACAUGCUGUGUGCUUGCUCUGUUUCUAAAUUUUUCUCCCCCACCUUUUUGACAGUUGUUCGUGGCCUCUGGGAACAGCCGGGGUUUCCCUGAGUGGUGACUCGGUGUUGGAGCGGGCGGGUGCUGGGUGUUUGCUGUUUCGUGAGGCUCUGAAAUCUCGUCUAUUUCUGAAGCAUACUUCACAGACCUAGCGUUGUUUGUCAGCGAAAUUGACACAGGGUCAUUUUCCAGCUAUUGGCGUUGUCUACCAAAAACUGACUUGAGAAUCCUUUUAUGUGUGAGUCCCCAGAUCUUCUCUGUAUUGUUAACAGCAUCUUCUUCUUCUUCCAUCAUAGAGAUAAUGCUAAAUCUCAAACUUAGUACAAGCUGACAAAGCUAAUUGUAACUCCUUUACUGGGAAGUAGCACUAUGUUCUGAUUUCCUCCCCGAUAUGUUUUGCUGUAAUUCACGCCCUUGUGAAUUUGUUGUAGAGAAAUGUCCUCAAAGGGAGCUUUUUCAGACAGUGAAUUUUGAUUGCUGUAAGCUAUGCUGUUAUCCAAAGUCUUCUUAUAAUCUUGUAGAAAACUCAAAAGAAAUUGAUGGUGAAGCAUUCAAUUGUAUGUAUUUUCUGUUAAGUAUAACCAACACUCUGCAUACUGUGCUCAUGUGGUUAGCAUGUUUGCCUGUGGCAGCAGUUUCUGUGGCUGCUUGCUGUCUUUGUAGAGGUGAACCUGGGACAACAAUGGCCAUAGAUUUCCCUUUACUUGAGAAAAGGGCUUCCCAAAUGGAAGCAGGGUGAAGGAAAUAGACCUGUGGCAUUAAAAUACCCUAACCCAUGUGUUGGAAAUGCCCUGGAAUACUGGAAUCAGGAAGCAGCCUAUAAAGUGGUGGGAGUGGAGUUGUGUUAAGGCUAAAGCUGAGGCACAGUGAUCUGCCUGUGUGCUUGAGGACGCAGCUCUUGUUCCCACUAUACACUAGCAUUAAACUUCCACAUUUCGCCUUCAGCCAGCUGUUAAACGUGUGAUGCCCUGGUGUUACAGUGGGAAUUUUUGUGGUGCUCACCUAAUGUUUAUGAAGUGAUACUUACAUGUUAUUUACACGUUCCUAACAAAUAUCCCUAUAUUUAUGUAUACAUAAAUAUACAGGAUUUAACUCUCCUGUUUGGAGAAUUCUUCAGCAAUAUUUAUACAACUGUAAGAUCCAUUAACUGUGCAUGUACUUGUACACCUCUGUAGAAGCAUAUUUCUUUUAGACAAAAAAUAAUAAUUUUUGUUUGUGGUUGCACGCAAGCACUUGGGUUAAUGAAACCUGGAUGGUUAAACCAGGAUGUUGAUUUUCCAAGUGGUGUGUGUGCCAGUGGUUUGCCUGGGUUACAACACUGAUCAGACAAAAUCAUGGUACAAUUUUGUACCACGGGGAUUAUAUUAAACACAAAUAUAAAAUAUAUGGGCUGCUUAUGGAAGGAAGCUGGAUAAAUAUCACUGUGUAUUUACCUCACUGCUGGAUUUUCCCCCCUGAGCUUUGUUAUUAACCAUUGUUAGCUACAGGAUGUUGGGCUGCUGGGGUCAUUGGUGUGUCCUCAUAGAGCUGUGCUUGUGUUCUGUUGUUGGGUUCCAGCAUGCUCAGAGUCCGUGUUAUCGGUAUCUGGAACAAACUCAGUUUAUCUCAAAGAACUAAAUGUGCUGCUUUUGCAAAACUGCUGUCUCUUCUUUACAUCUUUGAACUGAGAGGAAAUGGUUGAGUGAUGAUGAAAUCUGGUUUUCUGGGUUUUUUUUUUUCCAUUUGCUGCUAAGAUGCUUCAGACAUUUUAACUGAAACAUCUUAUAAUUGUUCUCAGAUCCAAAGCUCAAAAAUAUUUGGUAAACAUGAGGUAACUUCAUUUGGAGCUUGGUCUGGAGUGUCAUCACUUGAAAAUUGAAUGGAAAAAUAAAUCUGCUUUAGAUUAGAGUAUUAAUAUAUUGAGCAUAUGAGCUGCUUAACUUCUCAAUGUUGUUUGUAUCAGCAGGAUGCUUUAUUCAGCUUCAAAAGCCAAGGAGAUGUGGAUUUACUUUGCCUUUGUGUCCUUUAUACCUUUGCAAAGCAGAAUAAAUCUGUGCUUUAAGAGUUGUACGGUUCUUUUGAAGUUACUCUCUAGCCUGUUACAGUCUCCUUGCAAAAGCUGUAAACAGUUGAAGUACCAGAGCCAAGAAGGUCCAUCUUGAGGAAUUUGCUUGCGUGGUGUGGUGAAGAAGAUACAGCUGGUAGGAGUCAUGUGCUAAUAUAAUGCAGCCUGUCUUUAAAAUAAAAUACUGAAGAGAAAAAUCGUGACCACCCUUCCCCCUCCUUCACCCCAAACUCCAGGAGUUUUCUGCUGUUCAUUUGGGUAUGUUGUGUGUGUAGUUUUAUAGAUGUAAACUCUUGUUAGGCAGGGGCCAAGUUAAUUGUCAUUUUGUCCUGCUGCUUGUGAAUGUUUGGGAUUGGUUGCUGCUUUAAAGGGUGUGCUGUGUGUAUGAGAGCAUUGUCCUGUGCAUGUGGCAAUUCACUGUCCAAUAUUAUCUGUCUGUUUGAAGGUUUGCAGUGGGCAGCUGAGUAUCUUGAAGCUUCCUUUGGGAUAGGAGGUAGAUCUCUGAACUGCUGGGAACUCUGUCGUUUUGUCUUCCACCACGUGAUUAAUGCCAAAUUUUGUUUUCCAUAUCUGGUGUUUUUUUCUGCCCAAAGCAUAUCACUGUAGGCUAACAAUAGUAAUUUUAUUUCUUUUACAUGCUGUCUUAUAAGCCUUUAAAACAAAUUGAUUUACUUCAAGAUGUCUGCAUGACAGAGUUGCAUAAUGCAAAUUCUGUCUGGUGAUUAUGGAAGAAGGUGACUAAUGUUUUUAUAAAGCACUGCUGGCAUGUGCUUAAAUAUCAAGUGUUCUCUGGAUGUGUGUGGUUGUUAGUUCAGUGCUUUUGGACAUAUUCAGAUGAAAAUUGUGGGAGGGUGUUUUGUAUCUGUGUAUGCAAUGACAAAUCAAGCAAAUUGUCUCUCAUAAAAAGCUAAGCUCUACUCCUGGAGCAGCACACUGGAAUUUUUCUGCAGUGAGUAAUAAUGUGAUAAGGAGGCAAGGAUUUCUGGAGAACUUUGCUGUUACCUUGCAACAGCAUUAGAACUUGUAACACUGAGUUUGUAAAACCUGAAGACACCUGACCUGCAGCAAUCUCCUGGCAGAAGGCUAAAAUGAACUUCUGUAACCUUUUCAGGUCACCUUGUAAUGGAAGAGAGUGGAGCUGACCAUGAUAUUGCUAUGGAAGGAUCUAAUGAUUUGUUCAUAGGCAGCUGUAGUGCUACAGGAGAGUCAGAAACAAAUGAUCAGAUUUUUCAGAAGUUGCUGCUCAAAGUACAUUUGACCGUUUUUCCUCUGUGAAAGCAACUGAGGUGCAUGGAUCCCAGGGAUCUGUUGUUCGGCCGGAGCGACUCUCCCCCAGCCCUGCCCAUCGCAGUCCCCCUGUCGGGCAGCCCUCCCCAGGCGCGGUCCUGCUCUGCCGAGGAGCUGCACGGGGCAGAGCAGCCCAGGCAGCCGCUGUGUGAGCUGCAGCCCCUGCGAGGGCCCGGUGCGCCCAUGAUGAUUGUUACCAGCCAGUCAGAAAAUGGGCAGGUGCUGCAUGUCAUUCCUUCUGCCCAGCCAGGAGUGACCCAGGUGAUUAUUCCUCCAGGUCAGCUUCUGGAUGUGACCAGCACACAGGAUAUUUCAGAAGAGAAGUGUGGUGAUGGGAAUCUGCAGACUGUGGUGGUGGCUUCCAUAGCAGACAGUGCAAGCAGUUACAUUCUACAUCCACAGGCAUCUCUCACUGUAUCAAAAAAAACAACCACCAGGGCAGUGGAAGAUUCUUUUCCCAUCCCUCUUCAGCCAUUGCCACUAAAUACGCCUGCAUGGGCACGCCGUCUCAGGAACUGUGAGAGAAUUGGGGACUCGUACCGCGGCUAUUGCGUGAGCGAGGCAGAGCUAGAGAGCGUCCUGGCGCUGCACAAGCAGCAGACUCAGAGCGUGUGGGGCACGCGCCAGUCUCCGAGCCCCGCCAAGCCCGCCACACGCUUGAUGUGGAAAUCCCAGUAUGUCCCAUAUGAUGGGAUCCCCUUUGUCAAUGCAGGAAGCAGAGCCAUUGUAAUGGAGUGCCAAUAUGGGCCAAGGAGGAAAGGAUUUCAGCCCAAAAAAGCUGGUGAGCAGGAAAGCACCUCUAGCCAGCUGUACAAAGCCACUUGUCCAGCAAGGUGGUAUGUACAGUUACCUACUCAGCAAGCCCACCAAUAUCAUGAGAUGGAAACUUCCUGCCUCCCUCCUUCACCAUCCCAUCUUUCCAUGUCUUCUCCUGAGGAGGAGGAGGAGGUCAUUAGGGAUGAGAACAGUACUCUGCCUUCUCGACUUCAUCCUCAAGUGGCAGACAAGAUCCGAGAGCUGGUGUCUCAGGGAGUGGAGCAGGUCUAUGCAGUGAGGAAGCAGCUGAGAAAGUAUGUGGAAAGAGAAUUGUUCACACCUGAUGAAGUGCCAGAAAGACAUAACCUGUCCUUCUUCCCCACUGUGAAUGACAUCAAGAACCACAUUCAUGAAGUGCAGAAGUCCCUAAGGAAUGGAGAGAUGGUGUAUAAUUCAGAAAGUAUCCCAGCAACACUGCAAUGGAGCACAGACAGUGGGAACGUCCUCACAGAAACAGUGACGGUCGCGUUUGCCUCAGCGCCUUCCGAUGGGAGCUCAGGAGUCGAGUCAGUCAUCACCAAAGCAGAAUCCAACCAGAGCGGGGAGUCCUUGGUACCAGAAACAGCUCAGCUGCUGUCUUCACUCUCCUCACUUCAGCCCAAGAUAUUUGCACAGCUUCAGGGAUUACAGCUGCAGUCAGCAUUUACCUCGACAAACGGAUCAACAGCCCUGCUAGCUGUAAAUAACCAUUCCCCUCCCAGCCCUGCAGGUCUCCUGGAUUCCCUGGGGGGUGCAGUAGGCAGCCAUUCUCUAGCACUGGCUCAGGGGCACACUCUGCAAGGUGCUGGCCUGACACAAGACUGUGCUGCUGUGCCUGCUUUUGGGGCUCUGCCUGCCUCUGAUCAGAGUCUGCUUGCCAUGGGCCAGCUGGUGCCAGCUGAAGGGGUGGAUGACUCCAGAAGCCUGGAAGGAGGAGUGCAGCAGAUUCUCUUGGGAGAUGCGCAGACUAUCCCAGUACGGAUUGUGGACAGCCAGCCAGCACUUACUGAAGAAAAUACAGAGGGUGUUGUUACUUGUGUGAGCCAAGUUAAACAAGAACCAAGAGAGAAAGCAUUGUCUGUGGAAACAGAUAAAAUCAGAGACUGCCACAGUUCUUCACCAUAGUUCUUCACCUUCACCCGUGAAGCCUGGAAGGAUUUUCAAAUUGGAGAACUCUAAAUGUCUUGGAAGGAAAGGCAGGUGCUCUCAAAGUACUGCCAUUCUUUUUUAAUUUCUAUGUGACUUUCAGAAUAAGCAUAUUUUAGAGUACUUCUGACAGAAAGCUGUUUUGCUUGGACUGAUGAGGCUCACUGCCAACUCCAGGUCAUUCCGUUGCCCCAUGGAACACCACCUCUCUCUUCUGUUUCAAGUUUUGAGUAAUUUGAAUUCUAUCCAAAUGGCCAUUUUGUUCAUUGUUUCUGAAGGUCUUCCACAAUUUAAUUCCUUAGCUUUAGAAUGUGGAUCACAAUGCUGGGUUCACAUUUUCUGCUUGAAACCCUUGACUUUUAUUGUACUACAGAGACCAUAGAAUCUGUCAGCUCCAAGAUCACAGAAUCCAACAGCAAAGUGGAUCAGUAUGGUAAUGGUUUUGUGACAAAAGGAAGGUCCAGGAUGCUAAACUUCAAAGUGAUAAAGGACAUGGAUGCUUAAGAAAAUGCAACUUUGACCUGAUCAUAAUGUUAAUGGUGUGAAGAUCAAGGAGAGGAGAAAGAUUUAUUAAGGCUUCCACAGAAAUCCCAUGCCCUCAGGCCCUCCAAUUCUCAGUGUUUCACUGUUGGACUGUUGAAGGAGCUGCUGAGUUCACUGCGCAGAACAUGAAGCAUUCCAAACUACCCCUCAAAACCACCAUGCUUAGAGCCUGAAAGGAUCCCUUACCUCUGAGAGUACUCCAAAUAACUGUCAAGAGACCAGAGCAGAGAACAGAAGAGGAAGACAAGUUUGCGAAAAACUGCUUGCAGGAGAUAGAAAGCUCUCAAAGUUACAGCUGAAGAUGGCAAUUUCUUAUUGCUGAAAUGGCUCACUUUAGAUGUGUGCUGGUUAUCUUCUGAAUGCAAACUGGUCUGAUAACUCCGUGGUCUUGGCUGUUGACAAAGCUGUUAUCACAUCUGAGCUGUUCUGUAUGUGGAAGGAGAUGGAGGAAGUGGGAACCUUCUUCACCUGACUUCUGCUGAGAACAGAUGAUCUGUGGAAAGAGGCCUUUACUGGUUUAAAAUCAAUAUCCUCACAAUAAUUUCUUGGCUGCACAGGUUUUUCAUGUCAGGUGCUAGUGCAUCUCUAACUUUGCACAUAAUACAAGCCAUAAAAUUACCUCUCACUGGCCUAGCCAUAUUUUUUGUUGUCUCCUACCACUGUACUCAUUGCUUUUUGGGAGUGGGGAAAUAGUUUUAACAUGUUCUGAUUUUUGACUUUUCUGCCUUUCUCCUGUUGCCUCUUUCUCAUACUCAGAGCAGCACAGAAACAAAUUUAUCAUUUUAGAAAAUUUCUCUGUCCUCAGUUUUGUUUGGGGGUUUUGUUUGAAAAGUAAGCUAUCAUUGCAUUUUGCUUAAGGAGUGGGAAAUACUGGGGUGAGCUCCACUGCCCCUUCACUCCAGAAGUCCUCAGAGGAAGCACCUGCCACAGGUUCUGCUCCUGCACCUGUAUUUCCACACAGGCCAGCACAAAUACACAGCUGUGUUGGUGACAGCAGUGUCUUGCACUUGGUGCACCAGCACCUUAUCAGAACAAAGUUAUUGCUGUGAGCCCAGCUCAGUGUGUGGGUCUGCCCCACUGUGUCCCACAAAUGACUGUUUGGGCACAGCUUGAAAGAGAGCACAGGAGAUGGCCAGGAAGUUCUUAAUGUUCAACUUUGAGUUUGUGCUUCUGUGUUGAGUUCAGGUGCCCUGGUGUGGGUGGCCCUGUGCAGGACACAGCUGGUUCCUGGCAGCUCUGCAAUGGACACAGGACACAGCUGAGCAUAUCAGUGAAACUGGGCCACCUCUGGGGAGGGGUCUGCAAGAAAGGGAAAAUGCUGCAUGGCAGAGAGGAGUGAGGAAGAAGGUGAAACAGCUCUCUCAGCACCAAGGUCAGAGAAGAAGGAGAGGGAGGAAUUGCUUCAGGUGCCAGAGCAGGUGUGUUCCCUGCAGACCACAGUGGAUCACAUGCCAGAGCAGGUGCAGAUUUUUCUGAAGGAACUGCAGAGGAGCCAUGCCAGAACAGGCUUCUGCUGAAGGACUGCAGCCUGUGGAGAGGACCAUGUUGGAGCAACAGAAAGGAGCUGUUACAGACUGCAAUGCCCAUAUUUCUCUUUGCCUUGUGCUGCCUUGGAUGAGGGGAGACAGAGAAGCUGGGGCUCAAAGUUGAGUCUAAGGAAAGAGGGCAAUGGGAAGGGAAUGUGCUGUUUGAAUUUGCUUUUGUUUCUCAGUGCUUUAAUCCAUUUUAAUUGGCAAUAAAUUAUAUUAGCUUUCCUCAUAUUGAUUCAAAUAUUGAAAUUUACAUCUGGGCACAAGUCAUGGUGGAAAAUCCUGAUGUCUGUUUGAUCACUGCAAGUCACUAUUGCCUUUCAUUUUUUAUUUUUAAGAAUUAAUUUUGUGUGAAGGAAGUAGUGUACCGUGUCUGAAUCAGGAAUUCCAUUUCUGGACGUAUUCUGGUUAGGCCUUUCAAGUCCAGCAUACUCACUUCACUGGAGUAGAUCUCAGGUGGAGAAUUAACUCAGGAACAUGUCUAAUCCCUUACAUUUCAGCUGGAAAACAAUACCAGACAUAUUUUUACAGGUUUGAGCAUGGGAGAGUCAUUCUGAGGAGAGGAUGCUGCAGCAGUAGAUUCUACUUUAUAUACUUUGGUAAAGCUGUUCUUACAGGUGCUAACGGUGUGGCAUCUCCCCAGUCUUGUGUCUAGCAGUGCUUCAGAAUGGGGCAAAGUUUGUGAUGAGUGGCAUCUUUGGUGAAAGUGCUGUUAACUUUGGGAAAAGAAAUAAGCAGAGUUUGGCAAUGAGAUUUAUAUUCUUGUGCUUUCCAGAGGUAAUUUUCCUGAUUAAGAAGGGAACUUCCUUUAGAGGGUAAGUUUUAUAUGUAAGUUCUUACACCACCUUUGGAAAAUACCUGGCACUGGACACCAAGGGUACCUAGUCAGGGUACUAUGAUGCACUUACUGCUUUAUAAUGGGGGCAAUGGAAUAUAAAAUUGAUGGAUAGCUUCCUAACAUUAGCUAAAUUAAUCUUUUCAUCUUCUCUCUUCACAUUUCUCUAUAAAGGGAAGAGUCUCUGUUACAAGGAACAUGGUGAAUUGUUAGUUGUCCAUAAAACUGUUUAUGAACAGUUGGAUGAAAAAGACUUCUUUGAUAAUGAAUUAGAUGAGCUUCAGAAAGAAUUGUACUUUCACUGUAACUUCAAGUAUUUUCUUCCAAUUGUAUCACUGAUUAUUGAUUAUUGUCUUACUGUUUAUUUGUGUAUAAUUUAUUCGUUAAGCUUUUCUGGCCCUGUCAGGGCCAUAGAAGUAAUACAUAUGGCAAUUCUCUUUUCUUUUUAAGUUUUAUAGAAGGGAAAGGAAUUAUUCAUUUUUUAUUUAGCCACCAGCUGCUCUGGAAAAGUCCAUGAUUAUCCAUGUUCCAUAGCUACCAAAAAUAUUUUGUGCUCAAGUAUUCCAUAAACUUGAGAUUUUUCCUUGGAUCAGGCAAAGUGAAUUUAACAUCUUAAAAAAAAAAAAAAAAAGGCAGACUACACUGGAACCAAAUCUAGCAUCUUCAGGAGCUGUGACCUAGGGUUCAUCAGUUGCAAUUGUAAAAAGAUUCAAAAAGAUUGAUGUUUUCAUAGUGAAAUGUUUUUAUUCAUCUAGUUUAAUCUAUGAACAAAAGUUUCUCCAUUCCUCUUAUUUCAGACUUCUGAACUCCUUUGCAAAAUGAGAGAUUGCUAGUGAGAAUAGCUAAUAACUACAAAAAUGGAAAAAAUUUCACUGGGGACAGGUGCUAACAAGAUGUACCAUAAAGUCAGCCAGCAUAAUUAACAUUAGUAAGGUAAGAAGUUUCAGAGAUUAACUACAGCCUAAUACUUUUGGUGGUACACUGAUGUUUAUUCUGAUCUUGCAAACAAAAAUAAUGUUUGUGAGGCAUUGCAGAAAGAACUGGGAAAUAAAGCACUUUCUAAAAUGCCA